UACGUAGGGUGCGAGCGUUAAUCGGAAUUACUGGGCGUAAAGCGUGUGCAGGCGGUUCGUUGUGUCGGCGGUGAAAGCCCCGGGCUCAACCUGGGAAUGGCCGUUGAAACUGGCGAACUGGAGUGUGGCAGAGGGGGGCGGAAUUCCGCGUGUAGCAGUGAAAUGCGUAGAGAUGCGGAGGAACACCGAUGGCGAAGGCAGCCCCCUGGGCUGACACUGACGCUCAGGCACGAAAGCGUGGGGAGCAAACAGG
rnacentral:rRNA from 1 species